rnacentral:rRNA from 1 species
UUCGCAAUGCCCGAAAGGGUGACGAAGCGACGCCGCGUGUGGGAAGAAGGCCUUCGGGUUGUAAACCACUGUCGGGAGUUAAGAAGUGUAAGGGUGUUAAGAGCAUCCUUGCUUGACGUUAGCUCCGGAGGAAGCCACGGCUAACUCUGUGCCAGCAGCCGCGGUAAUACAGAGGUGGCAAGCGUUGUUCGGAAUUAUUGGGCGUAAAGAGCACGUAGGCGGCCCUGCAAGUCAGCUGUGAAAUCCUUCUGCUCAACGGAAGAACGGCAGUUGAUACUACAGGGCUCGAGUGCGGGAGGGGAGAGUGGAACUUCUGGUGGAGCGGUGAAAUGCGUAGAUAUCAGAAGGAACAUCGGCGGCGAAAGCGACUCUCUGGCCCGUAACUGACGCUGAGGUGCGAAAGCUAGGGGAGCAAACGGGAUUAGAUACCCCGGUAGUCCUAGCCGUAAACGAUGGGCACUAAGUAGAGGGGUUUUA